CAUUGAAGUGAUGAUACUUUUUCCGAAUUUAAUGAAUGUGGAUUUAUUCAAUCAGACUACAAUUAUCUGAUCAAUG
rfam:Vigna radiata var. radiata cultivar VC1973A chromosome 8, whole genome shotgun sequence